ensembl:processed_transcript RIKEN cDNA B230208B08 gene
GCUGGCUGGCUCGCUCGCGCUCGCGCACAGGCGCUCGCACACGGCCCCGCGCGCCGCCCGCGCUCACCUGCAUUUCCUUAACGAGCCACUUGAUGGCUGCGGCGGCGCGGCCGCGGCGGGCAGGACCGGCGGGGGGGGGGNGGGCGGCUGGCUGCCGCGGCGACAGAGACCCGAGCCCAGGCAGCCAGGCCUUGCCUCGAGCUCAGCGUGGAGAGCACCUUCUGGCUACCGGGCGCUGGACAGCUCCUGGCCAGGAAGCUUUUAACAAGAUGCAGCUGAGCGUGUCGAUAUCUUACAUCUUUUUACUGCUGUUUGGGUUGCUCAGCUACUUGAAGCUGCUCACUGCCUCAGACAAACACUGGCACCUUCCAGAGACAAUGUUCCCCGGCUUGAUUUAUGCUCAUUGUUACAA